rnacentral:rRNA from 1 species
UACGAAGGGGGCGAGCGUUGUUCGGAAUUACUGGGCGUAAAGGGCGCGCAGGCGGCUCAGACAGUCAGAUGUGAAAGCCCCGGGCUUAACCUGGGAACUGCAUUUGAUACUACUGAGCUUGAGUACGGGAGAGGAUAGUGGAAUUCCCAGUGUAGAGGUGAAAUUCGUAGAUAUUGGGAAGAACACCGGUGGCGAAGGCGGCCCACUGGACGAACACUGACGCUGAGGCGCGAAAGCGUGGGGAGCAAACAGG